rnacentral:rRNA from 1 species
UACGGAGGGUGCAAGCGUUAAUCGGAAUUACUGGGCGUAAAGCGCACGCAGGCGGUCUGUCAAGUCGGAUGUGAAAUCCCCGGGCUCAACCUGGGAACUGCAUUCGAAACUGGCAGGCUAGAGUCUUGUAGAGGGGGGUAGAAUUCCAGGUGUAGCGGUGAAAUGCGUAGAGAUCUGGAGGAAUACCGGUGGCGAAGGCGGCCCCCUGGACAAAGACUGACGCUCAGGUGCGAAAGCGUGGGGAGCGAUCCGG